rnacentral:rRNA from 1 species
GUGAGGAGUAUUGGUCAAUGGACGAGAGUCUGAACCAGCCAAGUCGCGUGAAGGAAGACGGUUCUAUGAAUUGUAAACUUCUUUUGUGCAGGAAUAAAGUGGGUUACGUGUAACCUUUUGUAUGUACUGUACGAAUAAGGAUCGGCUAACUCCGUACCAGCAGCCGCGGUAAUACGGAGGAUCCGAGCGUUAUCCGGAUUUAUUGGGUUUAAAGGGUGCGUAGGUGGAUUGAUAAGUCAGCGGUGAAAGUUUGCAGCUUAACUGUAAAAUUGCCGUUGAAACUGUCGGUCUUGAGUGCAAAUGAGGUAGGCGGAAUGUGUUGUGUAGCGGUGAAAUGCUUAGAUAUAACACAGAACUCCGAUUGCGAAGGCAGCUUACUGGGAUGCAACUGACACUGAUGCACGAAAGCGUGGGUAUCAAACAGGAUUAGAUACCCUGGUAGUCC